AACUGCGAAUGGCUCAUUAAAUCAGUUAUCGUUUAUUUGAUAGUACCUUACUACAUGGAUACCUGUGGUAAUUCUAGAGCUAAUACAUGCUAAAAACCCCGACUUCAGGAAGGGGUGUAUUUAUUAGAUAAAAAACCAACGCCCUUCGGGGCUCCUUGGUGAAUCAUAAUAACUUAACGAAUCGCAUGGCCUUGCGCCGGCGAUGGUUCAUUCAAAUUUCUGCCCUAUCAACUUUCGAUGGUAGGAUAGUGGCCUACCAUGGUGGCAACGGGUAACGGGGAAUUAGGGUUCGAUUCCGGAGAGGGAGCCUGAGAAACGGCUACCACAUCCAAGGAAGGCAGCAGGCGCGCAAAUUACCCAAUCCCGAUACGGGGAGGUAGUGACAAUAAAUACUGAUACGGGGCUCUUUUGGGUCUCGUAAUUGGAAUGAGAACAAUUUAAAUCCCUUAACGAGGAACAAUUGGAGGGCAAGUCUGGUGCCAGCAGCCGCGGUAAUUCCAGCUCCAAUAGCGUAUAUUAAAGUUGUUGCAGUUAAAAAGCUCGUAGUUGAACCUUGGGCCUGGCUGGCCGGUCCGCCUCACCGCGAGUACUGGUCCGGCUGGGCCUUUCCUUCUGGGGAACCUCAUGGCCUUCACUGGCUGUGGGGGGAACCAGGACUUUUACUGUGAAAAAAUUAGAGUGUUCAAAGCAGGCCUUUGCUCGAAUACAUUAGCAUGGAAUAAUAGAAUAGGACGUGUGGUUCUAUUUUGUUGGUUUCUAGGACCGCCGUAAUGAUUAAUAGGGAUAGUCGGGGGCGUCAGUAUUCAGCUGUCAGAGGUGAAAUUCUUGGAUUUGCUGAAGACUAACUACUGCGAAAGCAUUCGCCAAGGAUGUUUUCAUUAAUCAGGGAACGAAAGUUAGGGGAUCGAAGACGAUCAGAUACCGUCGUAGUCUUAACCAUAAACUAUGCCGACUAGGGAUCGGACGGGAUUCUAUAAUGACCCGUUCGGCACCUUACGAGAAAUCAAAGUUUU
rnacentral:rRNA from 1 species